rnacentral:rRNA from 1 species
GGAGCUAAUACCGGAUGAUAUUUUGAACCGCAUGGUUCAAAAGUGAAAGACGGUCUUGCUGUCACUUAUAGAUGGAUCCGCGCUGCAUUAGCUAGUUGGUAAGGUAACGGCUUACCAAGGCAACGAUGCAUAGCCGACCUGAGAGGGUGAUCGGCCACACUGGAACUGAGACACGGUCCAGACUCCUACGGGAGGCAGCAGUAGGGAAUCUUCCGCAAUGGGCGAAAGCCUGACGGAGCAACGCCGCGUGAGUGAUGAAGGUCUUCGGAUCGUAAAACUCUGUUAUUAGGGAAGAACAUAUGUGUAAGUAACUGUGCACAUCUUGACGGUACCUAAUCAGAAAGCCACGGCUAACUACGUGCCAGCAGCCGCGGUAAUACGUAGGUGGCAAGCGUUAUCCGGAAUUAUUGGGCGUAAAGCGCGCGUAGGCGGUUUUUUAAGUCUGAUGUGAAAGCCCACGGCUCAACCGUGGAGGGUCAUUGGAAACUGGAAAACUUGAGUGCAGAAGAGGAAAGUGGAAUUCCAUGUGUAGCGGUGAAAUGCGCAGAGAUAUGGAGGAACACCAGUGGCGAAGGCGACUUUCUGGUCUGUAACUGACGCUGAUGUGCGAAAGCGUGGGGAUCAAACAGGAUUAGAUACCCUGGUAGUCCACGCCGUAAACGAUGAGUG